rnacentral:rRNA from 1 species
CCUUGACAUCCAGAGAACUUAGCAGAGAUGCUUUGGUGCCUUCGGGAACUCUGAGACAGGUGCUGCAUGGCUGUCGUCAGCUCGUGUUGUGAAAUGUUGGGUUAAGUCCGCAACGAGCGCAACCCUUAUCCUUUGUUGCCAGCGGCUCGGCCGGGAACUCAAAGGAGACUGCCGGUGAUAAACCGGAGGAAGGUGGGGAUGACGUCAAGUCAUCAUGGCCCUUACGGCCAGGGCUACACACGUGCUACAAUGGCGCAUACAAAGAGAAGCGACCUCGCGAGAGCAAGCGGACCUCAUAAAGUGCGUCGUAGUCCGGAUUGGAGUCUGCAACUCGACUCCAUGAAGUCGGAAUCGCUAGUAAUCGUAGAUCAGAAUGCUACGGUGAAUACGUUCCCGGGCCUUGUACACACCGCCCGUCACACCAUGGGAGUGGGUUGCAAAAGAAGUAGGUAGCUUAACCUUCGGGGGGGCGCUUACCACUUUGUGAUUCAUGACUGGGGUGAAGUCGUAACAAGGUAAGCGUAGACGU